CAUUUAAGGUUUUGAAUAAUAAGUACUAUAAUGAUUAAUUAUGGAUAAGGAAAAAUUAUUUAUUAUGUCCUAUCUAAUCAGCAUAUCUUAUAUGAUAUUUUCACCAAAAUUUUUAGGUACAUAUAUAUUCUGAAUGACGGAUUGAUUUAAUAGUCUUUUGGUUUUUUUAAAAAUGAUGAACUUCAUUGAGUUUUGUAAUUCAUGUAUUUAAAAUGGUUUAGUUAUAAUUGUUAUUUUUAGAUUGACACUUUAACAAAGAAGUCAUCUAAAUGAAAAGGCAACUGGUAAAAGUGUAAGAAAAACAAAUUAAUGUUGAAAAGAAAGUGGAUAUUAUGAUUCAAAUACUACAAUCAAAAACAAAUGAACGAAAAAAGCGAAGCCAAAAGAUUAACGUCCCUGCACAAAUUGCACAAUCAAGAAGGGAUGGUUAUCAGCAGGGUAUUACUGAAAAGGAUUUCAUCUGGAGAAUAAAGAACGAAACUGGCAGUAUUUUAAAAAGGGAUAAAGACAAAUUUUGAAUCGUUCAAAGCAAAGAAACGAAGAGACGAAACUGAUAAACAAGAAGAACAUAACAAGAAAAUGGCUGUGUACAGCAAGAUGAGUA